CGCGAUGGCUCAUUAAAUCAGUUAUGGUUCCUUAGAGCUCCUGAUCCUACAUGGAUAACUGUAGUAAUUCUAGAGCUAAUACAUGCAACUAAGCUCCGACCUUCGGGGACGAGCGCACUUAUUAGACCAUGAUCAACCGGGGGCAACCCCGAACGACUGGUGACUCUGGAUAAACUACCGCGGAUCGCAUGGCCUCGAGCUGGCGAUUCAUCUUACAACUGUCUGACCUAUCAACUAGAAGGUAGAGUAUAUGUCUACCUUGGUGAUGACGGGUAACGGGGAAUCAGGGUUCGAUUCCGGAGAGGGAGCAUGAGAAACGGCUACCACAUCCAAGGAAGGCAGCAGGCACGCAAAUUACCCACUCCUGGCAAGGGGAGGUAGUGACGAAAAAUAACAAUACGGGACUCUUUCGAGGCCCCGUAAUUGGAAUGAGUACGAUGUAAAAUCCCUAACGAGGAACUAAUGGAGGGCAAGUCUGGUGCCAGCAGCCGCGGUAAUUCCAGCUCCAUUAGCGUAUAUUAAAGCUGUUGCAGUUAAAAAGCUCGUAGUUGGAUCUGGGGAGCAAGCUGGCGGGACCGCUUCACUGCGGAACUGCCUGUCCUGCCCUUUGCGCCGGGCUUCACAACAUGCGGGUUGCUCUUCGAUGAGUGUCUCCGCGUGGCCCGGUACUCUUACUUUGAAAAAUUAGAGUGCUCUAAGCAGGCGGACACGCCUGAAUAAUGUUGCAUGGAAUAAUGGAACAGGACCUCGGUUCUGUGAAGUUGGUCGUCAGAACUGAAGUAAUGAUCAAUAGGGGCUGACGGGGGCAUCCGUAUUACGGGGCGAGAGGUGAAAUUCUAUGACCCUCGUAAGACGCCCAAAAGCGAAAGCAUUUGCCAGAAUGCCUUCAUUAAUCAGAACGAAAGUCCGAGGAUCGAAGACGAUCAGAUACCGUCGUAGUUCUGACCGUAAACGCUGGCGUCUGGUGAUUGUCAGGCGUGGGUCUAACGACCCUGACAGCAACCCCUCGGGAA
rnacentral:rRNA from 1 species